GCGGAGCACAGGCUCCGGACGCGCAGGCUCAGCGGCCAUGGCUCACGGGCCCAGCUACUCCGCGGCAUGUGGGGUCUUCCAGGACCGGGGCACAAACCCGUGUCCCCUGCAUGAGCAGGCGGACUCUCAACCAUUGCACCACCAGGGAAGCCCCAUGUUGGUGUUUUUUAGUUUUUUUCUUGUGAUUGAUUUCUAAUCUCAUAGUGUUGUGGUCAGGAAAGUUGCUUGAUAUGAUUUCAGUUUUCUUAAAUUUACUCAGUGCUUGCUGUGUGGCCCAGAAUGUGAUCUUUCCUGGAGAAUGUUCCAUGUGCACUUGAGAAGAAGGUGUAUUCUGCUGCUUUUGGAUGGAAUGUUCUGUAAAUAUCAGUUAAUCCCCUUGGUCUAAUGUGUCAUUUAAGGCCUGUGUUUCCUAAUUGAUUUUUUAUCUGGAUGAUGUCCAUUGAUGUAAGUGGGGUGUUAAAGUCCCCCAGUUUUAUUGUGUUACUGUUGAUUUCUCCUUUUAUGGCUGUUAGCAUUUGCCUUAUAUAUUGGGGUGCUCCUAUGUUGGGCACAUGUAUAUUUACAAGUGUUAGAUCUCUUGGAUUGAUCCCUUUAUCAUUAUGCAGUGUCCUUCUUUGUCUCUUACAAAUCUUCAUUUUAAAGUCGAUUUUGUCUGAUAUGAGUAUUGCUACUCCAGCUUUCUUUUGAUUUCCAUUUGCGUGGAAUACCUUUAUCCAUCCCCUCGCUUUCAGUCUGUAUAUGUCCCUAGAUCUAAAGUGGGUCUCUAGUGGACACUAUAUAUAUGGGUCUUGUUUUCAUGUCCAUUCAGCCAGCCUGUGUCUUUUGGUUGGAGCAUUUAAUCCAUUUUCCGUUGAAGUAAUUAUCAUAUGUAUGUUCUUAUUGCCAUCUUGUUAAUUGUUUUGGAUUUGUUUUUGUAGGUCUUUUUUCUUCCCUUCCUCUCUUUUUUUCCUUGUGAUUUGAUGACUAUCUUUUGUGUUGUGUUUGGAUUGCUUUUUCUUUUUUGUAUGUGUAUCUAUUGUAGGUUUUUGGUUUGCUGUUCCCAUGAGGUUUUGAUAUAGCACUCUGUAUAUAAACAAGAUUGUUUUAAGUUGCUGGUCUCUUAAUAUCAAAUGCAUUUCCAGUACCCUGCAUUUGUACUCUCCUCAGGAUUGCUGGUUUUGAUAAAUUUGUGUGUAAAUGAUUUCCUACGUUUACUGUAUGUUUGCCUUUACUGGUGAGCUUUCCCAUUCGUAAUUUUCUUGUUUCUAGUUGUGGCCUUUUCUGCCUAGAGAAGUUCCUUUAGCAUUUGUUGUAAAGCUGGUUUGGUGGUGCUGAAUUCUAUUAGCUUUUGAUUGUCUGUAAAGCUUUUCAUUUCUCUGUCAAAUCUGAACAAGAGCCUUGCUGGGUAGAGUACUCUUGGUUGUAGGUUUUUCCCUUGUAUCACUUAAAUACAUAGUGCUACUCCCUUCUGGCCUGCAGGGUUUCUGCUGAAAAAAUCAGCUGAUAACCUUAUGGGGAUUCCCUUGUUUCUUAUUUGUUGCUUUUCCCUUGUUGCUUUUAACAUUUUCUCUUUUUAAUUUUUGUCAGUUUUACUAAUAUAUGUCUCGACAUGUUCCUCCUUGGGUUUAUCCUGUAUGGGACUCUGCACUUCGUGGACUUGAGUGAGUAUUCCCUUUCCCAUGUUAGGGAAGUUUUUAGUUACAAUCUCUUCAAAUGUUUUCUCAGGUCCUUUCUCUCUCUCUUCUCUUCCGGGACCCCUGUAAUGGGAAUGUUGGUGUGUUUAAUGUUGUCCCAGAAGUCUCUUAGACUGUCCUCAUUUCUUGUCAUUCUUCUUUCUUUAUUCUGUUCCGUGGCAGUGAUUCCCACCACUCUUUCAGCUCACUUAUUUGUUCUUCUGUCUCACUUAUUCUGCUAUUGAUUCAUUCUAGUGUAUUUUUCAUUUCAAUUGUAUUGUUCAUCUGUUUGUUCUUUAAAUCUUCUAGCUCUUUGUUAAACAUUUCUUGUAUCUUCUUGGUCUGUGCCUCCAUUCUUUUUCCAAGAUCUUGGGUCGUCUUUACUAUCAUUACCUUGAAUUGUUUUUCAAAUAGAUUGCCUAUCUCCAAUUCACUUAGUUGUUCUUCCGGGGUUUUAUCUUGUUCGCUUGUCUGGAAUAUGUUUCUCUGCCAUUUCAUUUUGUCUAACUUUCUGUGUUUUUGGUCUCCUUUCCUCAGGCUGCAGGAUUGUAGUUCCUCUUGCUUCUGGUGUCUGCCCCCCCAGUGGGUGAGAUUGAUUUAGGGGCUUGUGCAGGUUUCCUGGUGGGAGGGACUGGCGCCUGCCCACUGGUGCAUGGAGGUGGGUCUUGUCCCUCUGGUGGGCAGAAAUGUGUCAAGGAGUGUGUUUAGAGGUGGCUGUGAGCUCAGUACAACUUUAGGCUGCCUGUCUGCUGAUGGGUGGGGCUAUGUCUCCCCACCCCACGACUGCUGGUUGUUUGGCCUGAGGCCUCCCAGCACUGGAGCCUGCAGGCUGUAGGGUAGGGCCCACUUCUUGGUGCCAAAAUGGUGACCUCUGGGAGAGCUCACACCAAUCAGUAUUCCCUGGGUCCUUCACCACAGGUGUCCUCUCACAGAGAGAGCCACAAUCAACCCCCACCUCUUCAGGAGACCCUCCAAUACCCGCAGGGGCGGGGUCUCAGCCAACAACCUAGAAUGGUAGAGGGAAAAUUUUUUUUCCUCACUGACAGUUUGGUGACCCGUGAUGGGAUCUGCUGAAACACUGUACUUCUUCUGGAACCUGAAGAUAGGAACCUGGAAAACUGGCAGAAGCCAGCAAAGGACAUGCCUCUUAUUAAAUACCCAAUUGCUCGCACCGUAUAAGGCUAACUUUGGGAUCCCACCUGCAACACCAGCUCCUGAAAUGAGACACAACUGUUUAACUGAGCUGACCUGUCCUCAAGAUUAAGAGACAAAAGCACCGUUUUCACUGCUCUGAAGAAAGAAGAACACAGAAACCAGAUGUCCUACAUGUGUGUUUCACUCAGUAAUUCCCAGGGUGACAGUGGAAGGAGCUGCUUUUGAAGUGUCGCCUUGCUGGCUUCACACUUGGAUCCCCGGCCGCCUGGGUGACAGUCGCUUUCGAGCCCAGCCAGCCCCUCUGGCUGGAAUCCAGGGCCCAGUGGGCAGCCCCAUUCUCCACCAGGUCCUCACAGGGGGAUCCCCUACACCAUUAACCGCCCAGCACUGCAGGGCCCAGAGCCUUCUCACUGACUAGGGGAGACUGUUCCCUAGUCAGAAGCCAGAGUUCCUGUUCUUUCAUCAGAUACUUAAUCAUUUUCGUUAAAACCUUUAUCCAUUAACAUAUUCUAGAUAAUAAAAGCCUAAUUUAAUACUAUUUCAAGUGUCUACUAUCAUAUGCAGCACCUCAAAAGCUUUGUAAAAACA